GACGAACGCUGGCGGCGUGCUUAACACAUGCAAGUCGAACGGUGAAGCGCCUUCCUUUUUGGUGGGUGUGGAUGAGUGGCGAACGGGUGAGUAACACGUGAGUAACCUGCCCCCUUCUUCUGGAUAACCGCAUGAAAGUGUGGCUAAUACGGGAUAUUCUGGGUCUGUCGCAUGAUGGGUCUGGGAAAGAUAUUGUUUCGGUGGGGGAUGGGCUCGCGGCCUAUCAGCUUGUUGGUGGGGGGAUGGCCUACCAAGGCGGUGACGGGUAGCCGGCCUGAGAGAGUGGACGGUCAGACUGGGACUGAGACACGGGCCAGACUCCUACGGGAGGCAGCAGUGGGGAAUAUUGCACAAUGGGCGCAAGCCUGAGGCAGCGACGCCGCGUGAGGGAUGGAGGCCUUCGGGUUGUGAACCUCUUUCGCCAGUGAAGCAGGCCUGCCUCGUUUGUGGGUGGGUUGACGGUAGCUGGAUAAGAAGCGCCGGCUAACUACGUG
rnacentral:rRNA from 1 species